rnacentral:lncRNA from 1 species
GUAGUAUUACAUAUCAUUCACAGGAAAAACUAAGGAAAAAUGGUUUAUAUAUAUAUCGACAUAUAUUUGAAAAUUUUAGAUAUGAAUAAUAAAGAAUAUUUAAAGCUUACAACUUUCAGAAAAUCCCCUAUCCUUAUGUUCCAGUUUCCCCUUUCUAACUUCUGAUUAUAGCUGCCUGUGAGUGAAGUACGGUAAGUUAGUUUCAAGCCAUAGUUUGAAUUUUAAAUAUAGUGUCUAGAAACAGAAAACGCAUGGGUGUAAUGACUAAAGGCUACCUGUAAAUGAAGUCAUGCAAAUGAAUAAAAAUUUGUCUUCAAUCUUUAAAAUAUUUAAUCUUUAAUGGUUGCAAAUGUAAUGUAGCUAAGCAUGAUGUUCAUGACUGAAAUCUUCAAUCUAAAAAUCUUUUUAUACACCAGCAUUCUAUAUAUCAAAUGUUUCUUGACAUUUAUUUUUCCUUUAUACAUACACCUUAUGAAAACUUAGCAAUGAAAAAAUCAAAACUGUAUCAUUACUGAGGAGAUUUUUCCUCAUACACUAUGUCCAACUGACAUGCAUUGCUGGUAAGGCAAUGUACAAUGAAUAUAAAUGGCAAACAUAAAAUAUCAGUUGUUUAAACAUUUUGAUUGACAAUGCUGAAGAGAAAACCCUUAUUCUUACCUCCAAGGAUAUUAGUUGUUAGGACAAACAACAAUACAAUGAAAAGUUAUUACAAAGAAAACAAUGUAUGGCACAAGAGUUGACUUUUACAGAAUGAUGCAGCUUCUCAUGUGUCUGGUACUGUCUUUCAUUUAAGUGCUGAGUUCUUACAGAAUUUUUUUAAUAUUAUUUGACAUCAUCAAAUAAUCACUACCGAUGUAUUGAAACUGGUUUCAAUAAUUUAGCACUUACAUAUUAUAAAUGGUUUACAAAUUAUAAACAUGAAAUUUAAGGGAACAAAUUUAAGGAUACCCCUGCAACAUUUAGAUUAUAUUAAAGUUAAUUAUCUCCUCUUUAACAUAUUGAACUAGGGUUAUACUUCUUUGUGCACAUCAUCAGGAAGUGUUAUACAACUGUGUAAAGCUUGUCAAUAUAUGCCAAUCCAUUUAAAGAAGUAGUUGCCCUUACAAGUUACACGGAUAAACUGAUAGACAGACUUACAGACAGAGUGAUUCCUUUAAACCCGACCAAAAACUUUGUUUGUGGGGAUUUUAAUGUGUAUCAUACAAUGAAAUAAAAACAAAUAUAAAAUGAUAUAUAAAAUAACAGUGAUUAAAAAUAUAACAAACAAAACAUAAAUGUUAGGAUGAUCGAUCAUUAACAAUAUAUACAAAUUUAUCUGAACAUGAACUAAAUGUAGUCAAGUUUUGUCUUCAGACUGAGCCAAAAUGGCAAAAGUUCCUUUCCAGGACUUGAACAAAGGCCAUAAAUAGUUAUGCAUUUUUAUAUGGUAUGCUUGAAGCUAUAAUCUCUGGUUUGUAAUGCGUAUCUAUUGUAAAUAUUAUAUCAUAAAAGUUUUUAACUCUAUACUUUCAGGUUGCAUUCUAAUUUUGAUCUUUCUUUGCAAAAAUAGGGAUCUUUUGUCAAUCUGGGACCAGUCCAACUACAUAAGCAGGUUCUAAAUCAAAAUCCAAAUGUGUAUGAAAACAAAGUAUCAGUUACUCAUUAUAAAUAUACAGCAAUACAAACAAUCCUUAAUGCACAGUUAUGUUUUUUAUUGAUAAGGAAUCUUGAUGCAUAUGCAUAUAGAAGAGCAGAUUAGAUUAAAACCUUAUAAUAUUCCUAUAUGUAUGAUUUUUCUAUUCUGUAUCUUAUGAUAAUAUACAUAUCUAUCAAAAUAUUAUUGGAGCAUAUGAUGUAAAUAGUAUGACCUUGAAAACUAGAGGCUCUAAAGAGCCAGUGUCGCUCACCUUGGUUUAUGAGCAUAUUAGACAAAGGACACAGAUGGAUUCAUGACAAAAUUGUGUUUUGGUGUUGGUGAUGUGUUUGUAGAUCUAACUUUACUAAACAUUCUUGCUGCUUAUAAUUAUAUCUAUCUAUAAUAAACUUGACCCAGUAGUUACAGUGAUAAUAUUUUGUAAAAAUUUACAAAAUUGUUAAAAAUUGACUAUAAAGGGCAAUAACUCCUUAAGGGGUCAAUUGACCACUUUGGUCAUGUUGACUUAUUUGUAGCUCUUACUUUGCUGUACAUUAUUGCUGUUUACAGUUUAUCUCUAUCUAUAAUAAUGAUAUCCAAGAUAAUAACCAAAAGCUGCAAAAUGUUCUUAAAAUUACCAAUUCAGGGGCAGCUACCCAACAAAAAGUUGCCCGAUUGGUCUGAAAAUUUCAGGGCAAAUAGAUCUUGUCUGCUAUCUUGGUUUGCAGGCUGGGUCAUCGGACACAUUUUUUAAACUAGAUACCCUAAUGAUGAUUGUGGACAAGUUUGGUAAAAUUUGUUCUGGCAGUUUCAGAGGAGAAGAUUUUUGUAAAAGAUUACAAAAAGUUACAAAAAAUUGUUAAAAAUUGACUAUAAAGGGCAAUAACUGCUAAAGGGGUCAACUGACCAUUUUGGUCACGUUGACUUAUUUGUAGAUCUUACUUUGCUGAACAUUAUUGCUGUUUACUGUUUAUCUCUAUCUAUAAUAAUAUUCAAGAUAAUAACAAAAAACGGCAAAAUUUCCUUAAAAUGACCAAUUUAGGCAACCCAAGAACGGGUUCUCCAAUUCAUCUGAAAAUUUUAGGGCAAACAGAUAUUGACCUGAUUAACAAUUUUACCUCUUGUCAGAUUUGCUCUAAAUACUUUUGUUUCAAAGAUAUAAGCCAAAAUCUACAUUUUACCAAUAUGUUCUAUUUUUAGCCAUGGCAGCCAUCUUGGUUGGUUGGCCGGGUCACCAGACACAUUUUUUUAACUAGAUACCCCAAUGAUGAUUGUAGUCAAGUUUGGUUUAAUUUGACCAAGUAGUUUCAGAGGAGAUGAUUUUUGUAAAAGUUAACAACGACGGAGACGACGCAGGACGCCAAGUAAUGAGAAAAGCGAACUUGGCCCUUUGGGCCAGGUGAGCUAAAAAAAACCCAAACAUUUCAACAUAUGAACUCUUUUGACUUAUAAUCAUUUGUAAAAAAGUUUGUGUUUUGAAAUAUAUAACUGAUAGUAAAAGAAAAUGUCCACUUUGAGAUAGACUUUUUAAAAGAUUAGUAUCUCCAGUUCAUUUACUAUUUCAUAGCCUGUAUGGUAUUUGUUCUACAUAUAUUUUGAUUUAUUAUUCAAUUUGAUUAUUUUAAAGAAACAAUUUGAUUUAUAUGGUAAAUAAAUAAUAAGAAUCAUAAGAACAAUGAAUUUUCUUCUGAGUAAAUGCAUAUAAAUAAAGUCCUUAAAUUCUAUAAUAUCAAAUAUAAUUCAAUAGGAAUGAAAUACUUCCUUAUCCUCUUCAUUUUGAUUGGUUUAUAAACUCAACAAUAAUGGGUUACCUUCAUAACUUCAGUAUAAUGGUUGUAAUUUCAACUAAACACAUCAACCCAAGGCAAAUCCAAGAAGACAGACAAGGAGUUUCAAAUUGUAUUUGACAUCUUAGGAAAAUUGAAUUAUUCACAAAAAUCAAACAUAUUACAUUUAAACAUAAUAAAUAACACACUUCAACUACGAGACAGCUUAACAUUGUUCUUUUUUUUUCUUUUUAAAUAUGUUGGUAUUGUAUGCAGGAAUGUUUGUAAAUUUAAAAAAAGAAAUACUUCUAUCCGUUAUGUCUUUUAAAAUUUCAUGUAUGUGUUAUAAAAAACAGGAAAGAUUAUAUAAAAUCACUUUAUAAAGUCAAACAGAUAUAUAUGUUACUUGACACUUUUUGAAACCACUUAUUGUCUAAAUAAUUUUCAGUUUUAGAACUUGAAAGUUAUAUAUUGAUGUUAGAUUAUAACAAUUUAACUAACAACUGAUGUAUGAUUUUCGCGAAACUUUUCAAUUCAUUUUACCUGGACCAAUUAAUAGGUAAAAUACCACCAUUAAUUCAUUGUGAAUUAACUUUGUUUUACAAUUUUGUUUAAAUUUUUGGUGAUUUUGUAGCUUGAAAUGACCUUUGAGUAUUUUUCUAUCUGUACAUUAACAAAUCUUCCAAUGAUUUUGUUUUGAACAAUUUCAUUACAAAAACAUAAGUGUAAUAACAAUUUAUUUAACGUUUCCAAUCUCUACUUUUCAGUCUAUUGUUUUGUUGAAUGUUAUUAUAAUUUGUCCUUAUCCCAUGUUGCUGACCUACUUUUCAUUGAUUUAAUGUUAUUUAUUUGCUCCCUCUUUAUCUUCUAUCUACUAUAUUGUAAAAAUAUGAUCUUUCAAAACUGACCUACUUUAUAAAAGAAACAUGACUCUUGUAAUCCUAAUUUCUCUGUCUUAUAAUAGAUUUAAUUUAUUUCAAAAAAUUGAAAAAUCAUUUUUAAAAAGUUCCAACAACAGACAAACAAUGAAGCAACAACUUAUCAUUCUGAUGUUAUUGCUUAUCAAAUAAAAUGCUGCCAUUACAUCUGAAAAAUUCUGGUUAACUCUAAUGCAAUGGUUUUGUUGAAUUCUCAUUAAAAUAUGUAACAACACUAUAAAAAGC